rnacentral:rRNA from 1 species
UACGUAGGUGGCAAGCGUUGUCCGGAUUUACUGGGCGUAAAGGGCGUGCAGGCGGUUUGUUAAGUGCAGGGUGAAAGCUCCCGGCUCAACUGGGAGAGGUCCUUGCAUACUGGCAAACUCGAGGGAGGCAGAGGAAAGUGGAAUUCCCGGUGUAGUGGUGAUAUGCGUAGAUAUCGGGAGGAACACCUGUGGCGAAGGCGGCUUUCUGGGCCUUACCUGACGCUGAGACGCGAAAGCGUUGGGAGCGAACCGG